rnacentral:rRNA from 1 species
GACGAACGCUGGCGGCGUGCUUAACACAUGCAAGUCGAACGGAAAGGCCCUUUCGGGGGUGCUCGAGUGGCGAACGGGUGAGUAACACGUGGGUGAUCUGCCCUGCACUUUGGGAUAAGCCUGGGAAACUGGGUCUAAUACCGGAUAGGACUCCGAGAUGCAUGUCUUGGGGUGGAAAGCUUUUGCGGUGUGGGAUGGGCCCGCGGCCUAUCAGCUUGUUGGUGGGGUGAUGGCCUACCAAGGCGACGACGGGUAGCCGGCCUGAGAGGGUGUCCGGCCACACUGGGACUGAGAUACGGCCCAGACUCCUACGGGAGGCAGCAGUGGGGAAUAUUGCACAAUGGGCGCAAGCCUGAUGCAGCGACGCCGCGUGGGGGAUGACGGCCUUCGGGUUGUAAACCUCUUUCAACGUCGACGAAGCGUAAGUGACGGUAGGCGUAGAAGAAGCACCGGCCAACUACGUGCCAGCAGCCGCAGUAA